ensembl:lncRNA HISLA HIF1A stabilizing long noncoding RNA
AGGCAGUAUGCUUGGUAAAAGUCAUCGCCAUUCUCUAAUCUUGAGUACCCAGGGACACGAUACACUGCGGAAGGCUGCAGGGACCUCUGCCCAGGAAAGCCAGGAGCCAGAAAAACUUCAUCUCUUUUACAAGAAACAUUGAGAUUCCUGUAAAAUUAAGAAAUCACACAAUUUGAUGGUCUACAUUAUCUAAAGCAAAUGAGACUUCUAUUUGGAACAAAGACUACCUUGUUGGGAAAUGAGUCUGCAAGUUAAAGUGUUUUCUGGGAUCACUCUAAGCUCCAGUGUCAAGGAGUCAAGUCCUUCAGGAAUUCUCUGCCUCCACUCCCUGUGGCAGAGCUAGAGUGGCUGCCAUGCUUCUGAGCUCAGCCAGCAUCCAGAGAGAGAGUGAGAUACAGCCUCCUCUUCUUGAAGCACCCACUUCUAAACUCUGUGACAGUUUUCUUGGAACUCUGUUAUGUGGAUCUGGAGAUGACAAUGUCACAGCACUCCCCUCUAAGCCUAAAUUCCCCCACACCGAUGAACUAUUAGGAUCCAGUAUCUGCCGGAGGAGCCCCACCUUCUGCUACUAUUAUGUUCUUCAGAUGAGUAGAAGAGAGUGGGGAGGGAGAGAGCAGGAAGAAGAAAGGAAGAAUAAUGUCUUGAAAUUGCAGAACAUUCAGCAGGAACUGUGGAAAUCCAAGUCAAGUAAUAUUCUCAACAGUUUUCUAAGGAUAAUGGUCUCCAGCUUCGUCAAUGUUCCUGCAAAGGACAUGAUGCUGACUUUGAAGAUGCAAGCUUCCACAUCUACAGCCUCAAGGAAACAAAUUCAGCCAACCAACUGAGGGAGCUUUCCUUGUCCUGCCUCAAGAUGAGAUCACAGUCUGCCCAACACCAUGAUUUAGGCCUUGUGACACCUGGUAUGGAAGACCCAAGCUCAGAUGGAAAAGAAUGGUGUUACUGAGACCCUUCAAGAUUCCCAGUGUAAUUCAAUAAAGAAAAGGCAACACAAAGGGGUUGUAUAGAAUUCGCCACAUUAUGGACCCAUGUCAUAGAGAGAAUCCACGGUGCAUUUGUUAGCUGCAUUUAAAUGACAACACUUUCAGAUCCAAGAUUUAUUUGGGAUAAAAAUUUACCUGGAUGCAAGGCUAUUCAGAAUGAAGAUUAAUGAUAUGGUUUGGCUGUGUCCCCACCCAAACUUCAUCUUGAAUUCCCACGUGUUGUGAGAGGGACCUGGUGGGAGAUAAUUGAACCAUGGGGGCAGGUCUUUCUCAUGCUGUUCUCAUGAGAGUGAAUAAGUCUCAUGAAACCUGAUGGUUUUAUAAGGGGGAAUUUCCCUGCACAAGCUCUCUCUCUGCCUUUUGCCAUCCAUGUAAGACGUGACUUGGUCCUCCUUGCCUUCUACCAUGAUUAUGAGGCCUCCCCAGCCACGUGGAACUGUGAGUCCAUUAAACCUCUUUCUUUUGUAAAUUU